CAAAGUCAGCAAAGAAUAUGCUAGAACAUCUUAAAGCACCUCAUGCUGACUUCAUUUUCCAGCAGGACUUGGUGCCUGUUGCUACAAGUACCAGUACCUGCUUUAACCACCCUGGAUCCCAAUCCUGGAUGUGCAGGUGAACUGGUCUGACCAGAACCACACAGAGUCUAUGCAUCAAGAAGAAAAGAAGAGACAGGAGGCCCAGCAAGGCCACUAUUAAGGUACGUCUACCAGAUGACCACACAGGAUACCUGGCUAAGGGUCGGGCCAGGAGCCUUACACUCCUCACCUUGGUGGAAAGUCACAGCUGAACAGAGGUCCUGGGGUCUCUACCGUUUAGUUCUGAUGUCCAGUGAUCCAGCUGAGCCUCUGUGGGAGGGGCUC